GCCGGCCUAAUGGUUAGCGCGUUGGACUACGGAUCCAGCGGUCCGGGUUCAAGCGCUGGCCGGGGACA